rnacentral:rRNA from 1 species
AGGGAAUCUUCCACAAUGGACGCAAGUCUGAUGGAGCAACGCCGCGUGAGUGAAGAAGGUCUUCGGAUCGUAAAGCUCUGUUGUUGGUGAAGAAGGAUAGAGGCAGUAACUGGUCUUUAUUUGACGGUAAUCAACCAGAAAGUCACGGCUAACUACGUGCCAGCAGCCGCGGUAAUACGUAGGUGGCAAGCGUUGUCCGGAUUUAUUGGGCGUAAAGCGAGCGCAGGCGGAAUGAUAAGUCUGAUGUGAAAGCCCACGGCUCAACCGUGGAACUGCAUCGGAAACUGUCAUUCUUGAGUGCAGAAGAGGAGAGUGGAACUCCAUGUGUAGCGGUGGAAUGCGUAGAUAUAUGGAAGAACACCAGUGGCGAAGGCGGCUCUCUGGUCUGCAACUGACGCUGAGGCUCGAAAGCAUGGGUAGCGAACAGGAUUAGAUACCCUGGUAGUCCAUGCCGUAAACGAUGAGCGCUAGGUGUUGGGGACUUUCCGGUCCUCAGUGCCGCAGCAAACG